UUAUAGAUUUUUGAUAGGUUAAUGCCUCUGGAAUAAACUACAAUAAUCUGACAAACAAUUCUGAUUUGUAAUUUAUGCGUUCUUUUUAUUUGGUGCAGUAUGGAUUUUCAUAAAAAGGAAUCUUCCCAAAGGAAAGCUGAGUGGAGGAAUAAAUCAAGAAGGAAUAAACUAUUACAACAACCUUAUCAAUGAGCUGGUGGCUAAUGGUAUAAAACCAUUUGUGACUCUUUUUCGUUGGGGUCUUUCCCAAGCACUGGAAGAUGAGUAUGGUGGCUUUCUAAGUCCACUGAUAGUAAAGGACUUUCGAGAUUAUGCAGAACUUUGCUUCAAGGAAUUUGGUGAUAGGGUGAAGUAUUGGGUUACAUUGAAUGAACCCUGGAGUUGCAGUCAGAAUGGGUAUGCAAGUGGAGUAAUGGCACCAGGUCGCUGUUCUGCAUGGAUGAAUUCAAAUUGCACAGGUGGUGAUUCUUCAAUUGAGCCAUAUCUGGUCACACAUCACCAACUUCUUGCUCAUGCAGCAGCUAUGCGUCUCUACAAGGCCAAGUAUCAGCAAACCGAUGAUGCAAAUGAGCCUGAGUCUUCUAUGGGUACAAGAGGAUCAUCUGGUGGUAGCAACAUUUAGGGUGUUGAUGAUGUUUUUUAGGAUGAAACUAUUUUAGUGUACUAUGAACUUUGAGUAAGUAUGGAUUAAGUUGUAAUUGUUUCAAUUUAAAUUGCUUUUAUGUUAAUAUGUUG